UUCGUAGGUGGCCUACUAAGUCAGACGUGAAAUCCCUCAGCUUAACUGGGGAACUGCGUCUGAUACUGGGGGGCUUGAGUGCAGGAGAGGAACGCGGAAUUCCAGGUGUAGCGGUGAAAUGCGUAGAUAUCUGGAGGAACACCGGUGGCGAAGGCGGCGUUCUGGACUGCAACUGACACUGAUGAACGAAAGCCAGGGAGCAAACG
rnacentral:rRNA from 1 species